rnacentral:rRNA from 1 species
AACGAACGCUGGCGGCAGGCCUAACACAUGCAAGUCGAGCGAGGACUUCGGUUCUAGCGGCGGACGGGUGAGUAACGCGUGGGAAUGUGCCCUUCUCUACGGAAUAGCCCUGGGAAACUGGGAGUAAUACCGUAUACGCCCUAUUGGGGAAAGAUUUAUCGGAGAAGGAUCAGCCCGCGUUGGAUUAGGUAGUUGGUGGGGUAAUGGCCUACCAAGCCGACGAUCCAUAGCUGGUUUGAGAGGAUGAUCAGCCACACUGGGACUGAGACACGGCCCAGACUCCUACGGGAGGCAGCAGUGGGGAAUCUUAGACAGUGGGGGCAACCCUGAUCGAGCCAUGCCGCGUGAGUGAUGAAGGCCUUAGGGUUGUAAAGCUCUUUCAGCUGGGAAGAUAAUGACGGUACCAGCAGAAGAAGCCCCGGCUAACUCCGUG